rnacentral:rRNA from 1 species
GACGAACGCUGGCGGCGUGCUUAACACAUGCAAGUCGAACGGAAAGGCCCUGCUUUUGUGGGGUGCUCGAGUGGCGAACGGGUGAGUAACACGUGAGUAACCUGCCCUUGACUUUGGGAUAACUUCAGGAAACUGGGGCUAAUACCGGAUAGGAGCUCCUGCUGCAUGGUGGGGGUUGGAAAGUUUCGGCGGUUGGGGAUGGACUCGCGGCUUAUCAGCUUGUUGGUGGGGUAGUGGCUUACCAAGGCUUUGACGGGUAGCCGGCCUGAGAGGGUGACCGGCCACAGUGGGACUGAGAUACGGCCCAGACUCCUACGGGAGGCAGCAGUGGGGAAUAUUGCACAAUGGGCGGAGGCCUGAUGCAGCAACGCCGCGUGCGGGAUGACGGCCUUCGGGUUGUAAACCGCUUUCGCCUGUGACGAAGCGUGAGUGACGGUAAUGGGUAAAGAAGCACCGGCUAACUACGUG